GACGAACGCUGGCGGCGUGCCUAAUACAUGCAAGUCGAACGCUUCUUUCCUCCCGAGUGCUUGCCCUCUAUUGGAAAGAGGAGUGGCGGACGGGUGAGUAACACGUGGGUAACCUACCCAUCAGAGGGGGAUAACACUUGGAAACAGGUGCUAAUACCGCAUAACAGUUUAUGCCGCAUGGCAUAAGAGUGAAUGGCGCUUUCGGGUGUCGCUGAUGGAUGGACCCGCGGUGCAUUAGCUAGUUGGUGAGGUAACGGCUCACCAAGGCCACGAUGCAUAGCCGACCUGAGAGGGUGAUCGGCCACACUGGGACUGAGACACGGCCCAGACUCCUACGGGAGGCAGCAGUAGGGAAUCUUCGGCAAUGGACGAAAGUCUGACCGAGCAACGCCGCGUGAGUGAAGAAGGUUUUCGGAUCGUAAAACUCUGUUGUUAGAGAAGAACAAGGACGUUAGUAACUGAACGUCCCCUGACGGUACCUAACCAGAAAGCCACGGCUAACUACGUG
rnacentral:rRNA from 1 species